UACUCAUAGAUGCACAUUGGUUGGCUGAGCCAUACUCAGACCCAUAUGCAGUCUGUGUGGAUUCUAGUACGCACUAAAGAAUUAAGAUAAUUUUUCUAAUUGAAGGUAGAAGCUAUCAAUUCGUAUAAAAUAGUGAGAGCCUUUAGACUAAAAUCCAUAUAUUUAGACUUUAUUAAUUUAUAUACUAAUUAGGUCUAUGCUUUUUUUUCUUUUCAAAAAUAGCUAGUAUUGUAUCACUCCACUCUCUAUUUGACAGUGAUGAGCUUAUUUGACAUCAAUAGCC
rnacentral:lncRNA from 1 species